rnacentral:lncRNA from 1 species
CGGCUCAGAACCCUCCCCUAUUUUGCAUAUUAAUGUCCGAACCAAAUCAGUUAACCCCAUGAUACAAUCGUCUUCCUCGUACUUUGUAACGCUGCCGGACGUUUCCGCCAGCGGUGAACGUUACCACCUCCAAACCACCCCAAAUUGACACCUCGUAAUCCUCUCUUCUUCCCCAUCUCAAAUCUACAAACAGCUCCGUUCAAAACCCAGCCCAACUCCUCGAAUCUUCGUCGGAAGGUUUUCCGGCCACGACACCACCGCGUCCAAAUGACACCAGAUAAACAACAUAACUUCCUCCCCUCAUCCUCUAUUGAACCCCCUUAACCCCGUUUAUUACUAUGGGUAGACUAGCUCGAAUAUGGGUUUGAAAUUUUUCGGUGAACCCUGGUUUCAUUAAACUUCGCCGAACCAGUGCCCUGGGAUACUCCUCAUUUUUCUCGAGAUAUUUUUAUCGUCAUUGGUGGUCAAAUGACAACAGGAUUGCUCCAAUUCUGAACCAAGCGGUGGCAACCCUCAAGCUGUUAGUGAGUUUUCGAUUGGUUUAAUUUUCUGUUAUUUGUUCUUAUCUUCAUAUAGGAUAUUUUAGUUUAAUUUGCAUGUUUAGUUCUCUUUUCUCAUCCUGAAUUCUGUGGAUUUUCUUUGACUCCAAGUCUAAUUAUGGCCUAAUUGGAUUGCCAUUUGCCUGGUCAUCUUAGUUUAGUUUUGUUCUCAGCAGGGUUAUUAGACUAAGUUCAUCACUGGUAAAAUUAGUUUUGAUAAUUGAUUAAUUUAGUUAGGCUCGAAUUUAGUUUUGAUAAUUGAUUAAUUUAGAGAGGCUCGAAUCAUUCUUGGUGUGUGUUUCAAUUCAUUGGUUACUUUGAAGAUGUCAGUUGACUAGGUUAGUUGAUAGAUAAUCAUGGAUAAGAUAUUGGGCAAGGUUAGAUUCGUUUGUUAGUUUCACACAAGUCUAAGGGUUGUUCGGGUAAUUGGCAAGACUUAGGAGUGUGUAGAUUACAUCUGAAACCUCUAGAACCUUCUAGAGAGGGCGUAAACUAGAAUUUCAGAAAGUGUGUAUACUUGUUUGAGUUACAAGCCAACAAGUAAGGGAUAGAAUUUGAAAUUAAUUAAAGGACUUUAAAGAGAAAAUAAAAUCUGAUCUCUCACCUUUCUUGCCUAUAAAAGGGCAUCAGAAUUGCCUUGGUAAGGGGUCUCUUUUUCAGCGAAAAAAAUCCAAUAACAAGCUUACUAUAGAGUCUCUCUGCUAUUCUGAGUUCCCAGUCAGAAAAUUUCAAAAGAAAAUAUAAUAUAAAAACUAAAAAAAAAGUUACUCCAUUGAUUUUUCUAGUUUAGCUUCAGGUUUUCCUAGUUCAAAUUAGUGUUUGAGGUCUCAUAGGCAUACAAAUUGAUUUCGGGUUGGUUUGAGUCCAAUUGAACUAGGUUGUGAUAGAGUUUGGAUUUCUGCUGGAAGUGUGAGUAUAUUCUGGGUAAUAUUUGAGAUUUUGGUCUGUUUUGGAACUGGCUUGGGUCUGACUUCUCAUUUGGCUGAUUUCAAAUCUUUUCUGGGUUGUGGUUCAUUCUCUGGGCUGUUUCCUAUUGCUCUUACUACUGAAAAUUGUAUUUUGCUGUGGUUGCUGCUGAUUAUUUGCCAUAGCUGACUCCUUCUCUUUCUUCUGAUUAAAUUUCCAUUUCCGGGUACCACUUCUUCUCUCCUUUGUGUUGUGAAGGACUGGUGUAAUUUUAACUGGAGGAAUAUUUAGGAAUGCUGUAUUGAACUGUUAUCGAAGUCCAUAUUCUGAAUUUAUUGUAGUUUAUGCCUAUUUCUAAUGUGUAAAACAAUUUGUACAAUGAAACUAAUCUGAAACAUGAAGACUGAGAUCAAUUUGUGGAUUAUGUAGUUAGUAAUUUGUUGUUUUUUUUUUUUAGCUCAUGUGAUAGCAUAGUAAGCUUGAACUCAUGAUUAGAUUGAAAGCAGAUACUGGAUUGGUUUGUCUACCAUAAUAUGAUGUGUAUUGGUAUAAUUUAGCUAUUAGAAUUGCUGGAAAUGAAAAUGAGUUGAGAUUGUUUAAUUUGUUUAAAUCUGCUGCUCUGCCAUGGUUCAGUAAUAGUUUGGUAAUCCAGUUUUAAAAUUACAGACUUAACGUUUUGAAUUUGGACACAUAGGAAGCCGGGCAAGAGAAUUAGUCAUUUAGAUACUAACAUUUCAAUUACGACAUGUACUGAUCUGAGUAUUUAACUGUAUUAAUUUGCUAGAACUCGCCUGGGUGCAAACUAUACUGAAUGCAAUUCACACGUUAUGGAAUUAAUCGCGAUGUGGAAGUUUUCCUUUAAGUGCUAUUCUCGCGCUUCUGCUGGGAUUCGAACUCUAAGUCACUCCUUCAGCCGUUUGGUCUCCCAUUUUGGUUUGCUCGAUAUGGGCUAUGUGGAGUUUGAAGCUGAAAUAGGAAUUGGGCUUUUCACAAGCCUGGUUCCUUAGGACAGCAGUUAAAAAUAGGUUUAUAAGGAUUGGCCAAAUAAAAUAAUUGUUUAGGAUUUUUGUUAUUUACACAAAUAAAUAGAAAAACCAUAGUCAUUUUAGGAUUGACCUUUAAAUUAAAAUAUGAGACGAGCGUCGCUAAAUAUCAUGCAAAUUUCAGGGCCCUCAAUGGAUGAUUAUUAAAAUAAUUAGAGUUUGGGAGUGUCGUUUAGUGAAUUUCACGGCCAUGCCCAAAUAAAUAUACGUUAGAAUAUUUUGGCACGAUUUAAUUAAAUUACUAUCUUAAACUCGGGUGCGCAUUGAUGCGAUCCAAAUCCAAAUCCCGACGAAGUCAAAAAUAUGUUGAUCAUCACGGGCGCAUUGAUUGUAACGGGGUUCGAAACGCACUUUCACGACAUCGUAAUUCUUAUAAAAUAAAAAUGAUAUAAAAAAGGUUCACAAAAUGAGACGAGCCUCAUCGAACAAAAUGAAUAAAUGUGGGAUCCUCAUUAAAUGGUUAUUAAAAAAUGAUUACAAUUUGGAGGGCCGUUUAGUGAAUUUCAACGGCCUCUCCCGAAAUAUUAUUGCUCUAGAACGUUUAGGCGCGAUUUAUUUAAUUUACUUCCUUAAACUCGGGUGCGCAUUGAUGCGACCCAAACCCAAAUCUCGACAAAGUCAAAAUGUGUUGACAACCACGGAUGCAUUGAUUGCGACGGGGUUUGAAACGUAUUUUCACGACGUCGUAAUUCUUUUAAAAUAAACAAUGAUAAAAGUGGAUCACGACUAUAAGGCACAUAGGCUAGCAUGCAUUAAUAUCAGAUAAAAUCAAAUGCAACAGUUAAGCGAUCGUGCUAGAACCACAGAAACUGGGAAUGCCUAACUUCUUCUCCCGGGUUAAUAGAAUUCCUUACUUGGAUUUCUGGCUCGCAGACUGUAAUAGAGUCGUAUGUUUCCUCUGUUUGGAAUUCAACUGGUGACUAGGAUACCAUUAAUCUCCCAAGUGGUGACUCUGAAUAAUUAAUAAUUAAAUCUCGUUGUGAUUGUCCUUUAAUUGGAAAACCUCCUUUCGCCCUUGCGGGUGUAGGUGAAAAAGGAGGUGUGAUAUAAGUACGUUAACGUCAAGAUAAUCUCAUCCCCGAGUCUAUGUCAGUUUUUAAAAAUGAAAUUUUAACGUACAAAAAUGCAAGAUGUAACAUCCUUCCCCCCUUAGAAUCAUUCAUCCUCGAAUGUUCCAUUCCCCGUAAUCUAUAUAAAUUUGGCAGGGUUGCCAUUGUAACAACACCUCUAUGAAUUCUCCUCGUAGAAGCUUAAUAACACAACGCUACAUAGGACCACAAUUAUGGAUAACGACCAUGGACUCACACGACCAACGAAAAUAAUCAACAUAAGAAUUUAUACACGUACAUUAUGAUUAUGACGUCUCAGUCGGGCCCUUCUCUAGAGGAGGAAAUAGGUAGGGAUAUCUUGACUUCAUAUUUUCCUUGGCCUCCCAUGUCAUUUCUUCCACAUUGUUAUUUCUCCAAAGUACUUUUAUGGAAGCUACCUCCUUAUUCCGCAGCUUGCAGAUUUGUUGAUCUAGAAUGGCAAUCAGAAUUUCCUCCUAUGACAAGUCCUCUAUAAUCUGUAGAGCAUUCAUGGGCACCACUCGGGUAGGAUUGCCAAUGCACUUUCAUAACAUAGAUACGUGAAAAACUGGAUGGACAGACUCUAAUUCCGAGAGCAAUUCUAAUUCAUAAGCUACUAGGCCCACUAUUUGAACGAUCCUAUAAGGCCCAAUAUACCGUGGACUAAGUUUUCCUUUCUUGCCAAAUCUCAUCACACCCAUCAUAGGCGACACCUUUAAGAAUACCCAGUCAUUAACCCUAAACUCUAAUUCUCGAUGCCGCACGUCGGAAUAUGACUUAUGAUGACUCUAAGAUGUCAAUAGUUGAUGAAGGAUAAGCUUUAGUUCUUUAUGGCUUGCUAAACCAUGUCUAGCCCGUGUUAUCCAGAUUCUCCAACGCCGAACCACCCUAUAGAAGACCUAUUCUUUUGUCUUUGAGUUUCAUAUGGAAUCAUUUGAAUGUUGGACUGAUUGCUAUUAUUAUAUGCAAACUCAAUAAGCGGCAGAUGAUCAUCCUAGCUACCUUUGAAGUCUAUUACACAUGCUCGUAACAUAUCCUCCAGUGUUCAAAUAGUAUGCUCAUACUAUCCAUCUGUCUGGAGAUGAAAUGUUGUGCUAAGACUUACUUAAGUCCCCAAUCGCUUUUGGAAGGAUCUCCAGAACUGAGCUGUAAAUUGAGCACCUUUAUGCAAGAUAAUAGAUACAGGGACACCAUGCGGCUGUACUAUGUCCUUGAUAUAAAGCCUUGCAUAAUAUUCUGAGAAGUAUGUAGUUCUAACGGGCAGAAAAUGGGCUGACUUUGUGAGCCUAUCAACAAUCACCCAUAUCGAAUCAAACAUACGUUGGGUACAAGGUAAAACUACAAUGAAGUCCAUAUUGAUUAUUUCCCAUUUCCAAGUCGGAAUCUCCAUAGCCUGCAUUAAUCCACCAGGUUUUUGAUGCUCAAUCUAAACCUGCUGACAGUUAGGGCAGUGAGCAAUAAAUUCUUCUAUAUCUUGUCAUUCCAUCGCACCAAUAUAUAUCCCUGAUGCAUGAUACAUCUUUGUCGCUCCUUGAUGGAUAGAAUAACGGGAAUAGUGAGUUUCUCCCAUAACCUACCGAUAUAGCUCUGCAACAUUAGGUAUACAUAAUCAUCCUCGAUAUCUGAGGACCCCAUCUUCUAUAAUUUCAAAUUGUGUAUUCUCCUUCUAAAGGGUGGUAUCCCUAUAAUGAACUAACACUGGAUCUUUGUAAUCAUUUACUUCUGUUACUAAAGAGGAUGUUGGCAUAUCUUGAAGAGUAAUUCCAAUGCCACCUGAGUCCAGUAACCGAACUCCGAGACAAGCUAGUUAUGGACCUCAUAGGCUAUUCCCCUCUUUUUUGGCUGCAAAUACAAUAGGCUACCCAUAGAUCUACGGCUAAGAGGAUCGGCAACUACGUUCGCCUUCCCCGGAUUGUAUAAAAUAUCAAUGUCAUAGUCUUUAGGUAGCUCCAACCAUCUCCUUUGACGAAGAUUCACUUCCUUUUACUUGAAAAUGUACUGGAGGCUUUUGUGAUCUAUAUAGGUAUCAACAUGAAUGCCAUACAAGCAGUUCCUCCACAUCUUUUGUGCAUGAAUCACCGCAGCUAACUCUAAAUCGUGGGUCGGGUAGUUCUUCUCAUGAUUUCUUAGUUGUAUUAAAGCAUAAGCCACAACCUUACCAUGCUGUAUCAGCAUACAAUCCAAUAUAAUGCAUAUAUUAUCGCAAUAGAUAACAUAACCAUCGGUCCCUUCUGGAAGCAUCAGAACCGGUGUUGAAGAUAAAAUGUACUUUAAUGCCUGGAAACUCCGUUCACAAGCAUCAGUCCAUUGAAACUUUGCUCCCUUCUGAGUCAACUUUGUUAAAGGUGCUGAAAGGAAAGAAAAUCCUUCCACAAAUGUCCAGUAAUAACCUACCAAACCAAGAAAGCUACAAACCUUCGUCGGUGUUGUGGGCCUGGGCCAAGUCUUUACUGCCUCAAUCAUUUAUUUAUCCACCCGGAUGCCUUCAUCCGAAAUGAUAUGCCCAAGGAAAGUUACAAAGUUCAACAAAAUUCACACUUAGAAAAUUUUGCAUACAACUUCCUUUCUUGUAGAACUUUGAGCAUACUAUGCAGAUGACCAACAUGCUCAUCCUCUAAACGAGAAUAUACCAUUAUACAAAAAGAUCUAAGAAAGGACUCAACACACGGUUCAUCAAAUCCAUGAAUAUUGCUAGGGCAUUGGUCAGACUGAACGACAUAACCCAAAACUCAAAGUGCCCAUAUCUAGUCUUGAAUGUUGUCUUCAUAAAAUCUUUAUCAUUAACCCUUACAUGAUGGUACCCGGACCUCAAGUCUAUCUUCGGAAUAUUUUCAUCAUUAACCCUUAUGUUAUGGUACCCGUACCUCAAGUCUAUCUUUGAAAAACACUUGGCACCUUGCAACUGAUCAAAUAAAUUGUCAAUCCUUGGGAGCGGGUACUUAUUCUUGAUCGUCACCUAAUUCAGUUGCCUAUAAUAAAUACACAAUCAUAAGGAACCAUCUUUCUUCUUUACAAACAACAUAUGUUCUCCCCACUGUGACGUACUAGGUCUAAUAAAUCCUUUUCAAGCAAGUCCUUUAGUUGUUCUUUCAACUCUUUCAGCUCUGCGGAGGCCAUUGUAUAGGGAGAAAUAGAUAUUGGGUUAGUAUCUGAUAGUAGGUCAAUAAAAAACUAAAUUUCUCACUCUGGAGGGAGACCCGAAAGUUCAUCGGGGAAGAUAUUUGGAAACUCAUUUACCACAAAGAUGGACUGAAUGGCUGGUGACUUUAUUUCCACAUCCUAAACCCGAAGUAAGUGAUAAAUACAACCCUUUUUGAUCAUCUUCCUUGCCUUGAGAUAGGAAAUAAAUCUACCUCUUGGCGAUGCCGUGUUACCUUUCCACUCCAAAACAGGCUCCCAUAGAAAUUGAAAUCGGACCAUCUUUGAUCUCUUAUCAACGUUGGCAUGACAAGAAGCCAACCAAUCCAUACCCAUUAUAACAUCAUUCUACCAUAUCUGACUCGAUUAAGUCUGCCAUGGUAGGUCAACUAUAAACUAUUAUUAUACAACCUCUAUAUACAUGCUUAACUAUCACCGAGUCCCCAACAGGUGUAGACAGCUCAAAAGGUUUAAUUACCAAUUCAGGUUUUAUUUCAAACUUACUAGCAACCAACGGAGUACCGUACGAUAAGGUAGAACCCGGAUCAGUCAGUGCAUAUACAUCAUAAGAGAAGACUGAUAAUAUACGUGUAACAACAUCAAGUGAUGACUCUUGGUCCUAUCAUCCUGCCAAUGUAUAAAUGCGGUUCUGAGGGCUGCUCGAGCUAGAUAAUCUGCCUCUUCCUCUAAUACGGCUCAUAGGUGCUUGGGGACAGUGCCUAGGGGGCGUACUGAUGAUGACGAUCCAGCUACAGAUCCUACUGGCUGAGCUAUUCUUAUAUCACCUCUCAUAGGACAAUCCCUCAUAACGUGGAACUAAUAACCACAAAUAUAACAAACACCUAAUCCCAUACGGAACUGCUCAGUAUGCUGCUAACCACAUUGAGUACAUUGUGGCAAGGGUGGCCUCGUAUGAUUUGACUCACCCCUAAACUGAGAACCUGCGGCCCUAGAAUUCUAGCCAUGCCCUAAAUAUUUAGAAUGAUUAAAUCUCUUACCGCAAAAUUGAGGGGGCAUGCUAGCGGAGGGAUGGGAUGGAUAUCUCGAAUACUGCUGCCUAUGACCACCUCGAAACUCACCAGAGGGAUCCGAGGACCUCGCUAUCUUAUUUUAGGCCCUAUCAUGCUCACGAUCGGCCCUCUAUUUCUUUUUACGCUCCUCUACACCCUGAGCGUAUGCUUGAAUACGAGAAAUAUCCAUGUCUAGCUGAAGUGAAAUGGACAUACAAUUGUUAAGUAAGUGAGGCUCUAAUCCCAUCACGAACCGGUGAACCCGAUCCUCCAUCUUAUAUACAAUAGUGGGAGCAUACCUAGCCAACGAAUCAACUGAAGACUAUACUUCCGAACACUCAUGUUUCCCUAACAAGGGUCAAGAACCUAUAAACUCUAGCUCGCCUAAGCUCUGGUGGCAGAUAAUGACGAAGAAAUGCUUUUGUAAACUCUUGCCAUACCGUUGGAGGGGCAUUCUCACCUCUGGACUAUUCCCAAGACUCGUACCAGUUAACUGUACCAUCUCGGAGUCUAUAGGAAGCUAGCUCAACUGACUUAGUCGUAGUGGCCUUCAUUACCUAUAACACCCUCUAUCAAUAAAUACUUGAGGGACCUCAUUCAGAUCUGCUACAAUGAAUACCAGAAGGUCUAAAUUAAUAAAUUCACGGACCCUUGCACUCACGGACCUAUCUGCGUGACCAAUACCUACUUCUUGAUGUUGAGCCUAUGCGGCUACUAAUUGGGUCAAUAACUGAAAAACGUCUCUUAUCUCCUGACCCGGCGCAUCCGAUUGAGGUGUUGAAUGUACAGGGGCGGGCGUGGGAGCUGGUGACCUUCAGAGCUCUUCUAUGAAAGGCGGGGUAUAUGAAGUCUGAGAUGGAACCUCACCAUGAGAUACUCCCCGAGCCCUGGUUACUCGUGGCGCUCGACUAGUAGUCUCACCAGCCUCGGACUUUCCAUUCUGGGCGGCGUACUCUUUGGAGGCACUAAAAAUAUAAGGUAUCGUUAGGAACAUGAAACAUGAAUUCUUGUAUUGCACGAUUUGAGAUAAAAAGAGACGAUAACAUCCUAUUUGUCCUGUAGCCUCCUGUUUAUAAGUGUGGUGCACGACACACCCAUAAACAAGACUCUACUAGACACGGCCUGGAGACAACUGUGAGCACGUGAUUUUUUCUCUACAUAUGAACUAUUCCCAAAAAUUCGAACAAAAUAAUUUUUCAUUAUUUUUGCAAUUUUGUAAAAUUUAUUUAUUUUCUCUUAAUUGUUUGCAUUUUUUUAUUUGUGCAUUUUAAUUCUCAUGAAAAAUGUAGUAUUAAUUAGGAGUUAAUUUGUUUUAAAAACAAGAUAUGAAGAAAACAACAAAAUAGUCCACUUUUGUAUUUUUAAUUGUUUUAGUUGUGAAUUCGCCACGAAAUAGUUUUAAAUUAAUUUUAGGAGUUAAUUAGUUUAAUUUUGAAAUAUACUAGGACUUUUUUUUUGCAUUUUUAUAAAUCGGAAAAUACAAAACUACAUAAUGAAAUACAAAAAAUAUAUAAAAGAAAUAAAGAUAAAACAAAUAAAAGGGAGACGUGGAUUGUUACUACGAAGUGAGCCUUUUAAUUCAUUUAUUCAGCCCAAAACCAACCCACACCCGUCCAGCCCAAGUCCCCAGACCUGGUCCAUCCCUGCCUACCCCUUAUACGACAUCGUUUGGUAGAUUUAAUCGUGGCCCUUGAUCUCUGAUCCACGGUCAAUGAUGUACUAGGUUCUUUAAUAUAAGAGUGUCCAAACACUCCCCCCUUUUUUCGUCCCUCUUCCCUUCCUCAAACCAGAGAAACCUCCCCAGAACCCUAGCAGCUGCUCCCAAAUUCCACCGCCGGCGAUGGAAGCGCCACCUCCAUUUUCAUCCAAAAGUACACCCCUUAUUCUUCUCCUCCUCCUCAUUUCCGAUCCACAACACGUUUUCCUUGAACCCCAACACAACUCGUCGAAUCAUCAACCAAAGAUUUCUGGCCAAAACUCAAAUUUCUCCGUUCAUCACCAAAUUUACACCAUAGGACCUCCAUGGCAUCCCCUCUCAAACCAUCCAAGUCUCAUCCCUUGAAUCACCGCCCAUCUUCUCAAAUAUUAAUUCUUAAAAUUCAAGCCAAAACCCUAAUUGCCCCAAACUUCACCAAUUUGAUACCAAAUGACCCUCUAACCUUCCUCGUAGUGACUUGGUCAUCAAUCGAGCUUUAUUUUUGCUGGAGUUGGUCGGGUUCGAAUUUGGAAAUUUGACCGGAGUCUCGAAGUUAGUCAGUGAGUUUUCGAGUUUAAUUUUUUUUUAUUUUUCCUUUUCCUUGAUAUUCACUGACCGUCCAUGAGUAUGUAGCUUCUUAACUUUGUUUGGAAUAAAUGUCAGUUCGAAAUCAAUGACUCUUCCGUAUUUCUGUUUUUUUAUCCUUAUCUGUUUGAUUUGUGUUAAUUUAGGUGAUUAAUUGGCUAUUAGUUAGAUUCGUUUCAAUUUGGCUAUUUGAAUAAUGAUUCUUAAUCUCAAUUGUAAUUCUAUUUAGUUAAUACUCGUUUGAAUGUUAUAUGGUUGUUAAGUCUAAUUAAAUUCAGUUUUAUAAUUAAUUUGGUUUCAAGUCUUUGAUUAAGAUGGUUUAAAUCAUCAGCAAUUGAUCACCUUGGUGUGUGUUUGGUUUGUUGAAGAUUGUUAACUAGAUAAUCAUAGGUAGGGGUUUGGGUUCAUGAAUUUUAGAAGUACUAAAGGGUAGUUUAGAUAUUUGGUAUUGGGUAGAACAUGGUAGAUCACACUAGAAUAGUUUAGACCCUUCUAGAAUAGGACCUUAGUGAUAUUUCAGUAAACUCAUGGUGUUUCCUUGAGUAACAAGUUUAAAAAUGAGGGACAACAACUGAAAAUGAAGAGGGACCAAAAGAAUAACUAAAAACCUGAUUGUUGCCUAUAAAAAGGCAUCAAAAAUGCCUUGAUGAGGUAAUUUUGGAGAGCCACAUAAUCCCCCCCNNNNNNNNNNNNNNNNNNNNNNNNNNNNNNNNNNNNNNNNNNNNNNNNNNNNNNNNNNNNNNNNNNNNNNNNNNNNNNNNNNNNNNNNNNNNNNNNNNNNNNNNNNNNNNNNNNNNNNNNNNNNNNNNNNNNNNNNNNNNNNNNNNNNNNNNNNNNNNNNNNNNNNNNNNNNNNNNNNNNNNNNNNNNNNNNNNNNNNNNNNNNNNNNNNNNNNNNNNNNNNNNNNCCCCCCCCCGAAAAAAAUACUCUCUAUCUGAAAUUCAAAUCUUCAAAACAAAGCUCCUUUAGAUCUUAACUUCUUCAAAAAGAAAAAUAAAAAAACAAAAGAAAAUAUGACAAGAAAAUCCAAAAUAGUUCAGUUACAUUGCACUUUACUAGGUUAUUUUGAGUUUUGAACAUUAAAACUAUUCUCCUAGCUUGGGUUUUUAAAUGUUGAAGCUUCAAAAUCGUUUUUGAUGGGAUUUCGAGUGAUUUUGGCAUCCAUUGAGUUGUUCUGGGUCAGCUGUUAAGUGUUGGGUUGCUGUGAAGUAUUCCCAUUUUCUGUGAAGUUAUUUUUGGCUCAAUUAAAUCUGAUUGUUGUUGUGCUUGACUGACUGGAGUCCGUUAGCUGUUACUGGUUGCUGAUAUCUCUUUUCUUCUCUUUUCGUUGUAAUCCAGGUACACGUUUUGAGUUUCUCAACUCAUUUGAAGUGAAAUGAAGUGCUGGUUGGACCUUUCCUGCUUAAUUCCCUUAUUGUUUUCUUUGACUUGAUAUUGAAUAUAACUCCUUAGUAUAUAUUGGAUUAAUAGGUGUAUAACUGACUGCAGAUUUGUUAACUUACCUUCUAGCAUUUUAUUAAUUUAUGUAAUAAAAAUGGACUGUAUUAGGACUGUGUUUAACUGAUCUGGGCUAAUUAAAUCUGCGUUUAUGUUUGUUCAUUCCAUGAUAGCGAUUUAGUACAAUGUAAUCCGAAACCACAUGAUAAUCGCAUUUGGAAAGAGAAACUGAGUUGCUAGUAUUGAUUUAAUAAUGUCCACUUGAAUCCAUUAGAAAU